rnacentral:lncRNA from 1 species
UUGUCUGAAAGUGAGGACUCUUUCUGCCAUCCGGAUCAUCUACUUUCUGCUUCUUGACCAAGACACAUAUAUGAGCAAACAGGCUAUUCUUCCAAGCCUGGGGAAUGUUAUCCUCUGCAUCUUACCUGUGUUCACAGCAGAGGUUAACUCUUGUCUGACCAUGUAUAUGCUGCGAAGCUCAGAAGAGAAAGGGGUCAUGAAGGAAGCUGAACUUGAGAGAAGGUGGAGGAAGAAGGAAGGCCUACAAAAAUUUCCUCGAGGAGCAAAAGGAAACAUCUCUUAUUUGACUGCUCAUAAAAGAAGCCUAGAGAAGAACCUAGGUCCUCGUAGUCUGCUCUUCGUAGCUGAGGACGGCAUCCAGGAAGGUGAGGAGAACUCUGAGGAGCUGCCUGGCUCUAGCACGGAUUGUACCUUUCUGAGUCUCUGGCCCAAGGAUGGGUUAAUAACUUCUCCCCGGCCUUAUCUUUACUAUCAAA